AUGGCCUUCUUCCUAGUGUUCAUGUCCUCGCUUCUCUUCACGCUCUUCAUUUCUUAUGCUUUCCAGCUGCUCACCGACGUCCGGCGCCGUCUCCCACCUGGGCCAACGCCGCUUCCGGUCAUCGGCAACCUCCUCGACGUCGUAGGCAAGCUCCCGCACCGCUCCCUCGCCCACCUCGCGGAACGGUACGGCCCUUUGAUGACGCUUCGGCUGGGCACGGUGGUCGUCAUCGUCGCCUCCUCCGCGGCCACGGCCCGGGAGGUCCUCCAGACGCACAACACCGUGUUGUCCGGCCGCAACCCGCCGGACGCGUGGAACGGCAUGGGGCACUCCGCCAACUCGGUGUUCGUCCUGCCGCCGCGCCGCAGGUGGCGCGCGCUGCGGAGGAUCGGCGCCGAGCACCUGCUGUCGCCCCGGCGGCUCGAUGGGGACGCGCUGCGGCCGCUGCUCCAGGACGCCGUCUUCGGCAUGCUCCGCCGCGUGUCGGAGCUGGCGACGUCCGGCGCGCCCGUGGAGGUCGGCCACGCGGCGUUCGCGUCCAUGAUGGACCUGCAGUGGCGCGCCAUGUUCUCGGCCGGCCUGGACGAGGCCACGUCCGGAGAGCUGCACGGCUUCGCGCGGGAGGCCGUGGCGCACUCCCUCAGGCCCAACAUAUCCGACUUCUUCCCGGCGCUCGCGGCCGCCGACCUCCAGCGCGUGCGGCGCGGCUUCGCCACACACGUGGCAAGGGUUUACCAGCUCAUCGACCAACAGAUCGACCAGCGGAGGGACGCCCGGCAAGCCGGCGACGGCGAUGCGCGCAAGGACGACCUGCUGGACGUGAUGCUCGACAUGUCGGAGGAGCAAGGAGGCAAGGACGUCGACGACGGCCUUGUUAACCAGGAUUUCAUGAGGGCCUUUUUCACGGACAUAUUUCUCGCGGCCAACGACACUGUCUCGGGUACAAUUGAGUGGGCAAUGGCAGAGUUACUACAGGAGCCACAGACCAUGACGAAAGUACAACAAGAGCUCAAAAGUGUCCUCGGCUUGAAGACGCACGUCGAAUACUCCGACAUCAACCAGCUACCCUAUCUCCAAGCAGUCGUCAAAGAGACGCUCCGUCUGCACGCGGUGGUGCCGCUGGUGCCCAACAAGGCCGAGGCCACAGUGAAGAUACAGGGCCACACCAUCCCCAAGGGGAGCACCGUGCUGGUGAACGUGUGGGCGAUCCACCGCGACGCUGAGGUGUGGCAGGAACCGAACAAGUUCAUCCCGGAGAGGUUCCUGCAGGACGGACAGGAGGAGGUGAGUUUCCAGGGCGCGGUGGACUUCAGGUUCGUCCCGUUCAGCGCCGGGAGGCGCACCUGCCUCGGCCUGCCGAUGGCAACCAGGAUGAUCCACGCCAUGCUUGGCUCGCUGCUGCACUGCUUUGAGUGGACGCUGCCACGCGAGGUGGAGGGAAGUGGUAUGGAUAUGUCGGAGAAGGUUGGGAUCACGAUGGCCAUGGCUACUCCCCUCCAGGCUAUAGCCUGCAGGAGAAUCUGA
rnacentral:rRNA from 1 species